rnacentral:lncRNA from 1 species
UUAUGAUUUGAAGCACCACAAUCCCCACAAACACUUGCCGCCAUGGUUCUACCUAUGCGGUUUCAUCGCUACCGCAUUAGUACCGCCCCAGUGCAUACCACGGUCGUUGCUGCCCUCCUCUGUUGUGAACUUCUGGGACAUUCGCCGCCACGCCUUUUUCACCGGAGUCCACCAUCAGCCACCGCAACCGUUCGUGACCACCACCGUGCAUUCAUUUUUAUUUAAGCUAGCCGCAAGUAUUCCGCCGCUACCAUUGCAUUCUUUGAUGUGUUCAUGCUCAUCUAUUGGGGUGUUAGUACGACUUAUGGACGACCCGACUUUGUUUUCUUUUGCUUUGCUUUGCUUUGUCGAAUUAAGGUAAUAUGGGAUAAUAUGGGAUUUCAGUGAGGAGCGUUAGGAAGU